AUUACACAAAUGGUAUAGUUUAGGUAAAGCAUAAAGAAAUUGGUACAUUGUCAUCGUUGUUUGUGCCAUCUGGACCAGAUCUUCUUGAAUUUUUGUGUGGUUCCUCCUAGCCUAUGUGACUUCUCUUCGUAUAUGUGGUUAUUGCGUGACUGAUCCAAGACUUCUGUUCUAGUUGGGGGUUUGGGGGAUUUCUAAGCCGCUGUAAUACUAAAUUUAGCUGAUACUAAAAUCUGCAUUGUCAUACUCCUAUCCAGCUUCCGAAUGUGGUCUGGUAUCAUGUCAAAUGGAAAUACUUCUGGUUUAAGCUGAACAGUGUGCCCUGUACGUGUAUUUUUUUUUGGUCUUACAUAUCUACCCAUAACAGCCCAAUUGUGGACAGUACCAGAAUAUGCGACUUAGGGCCCCUACUUCUUGUUUGCAUCUCCAGCAAGAAGAGAACGUAAUUGUGUAAAUAAUUGAUAGUCGGAGUGGUGUUAGGUACCACCUCAUUAGUAGAUUCCUGCGUGUUUCUACAUGGUUUAACCCCUUAAGGA